rnacentral:rRNA from 1 species
AUACGUAGGGUGCAAGCGUUAAUCGGAAUUACUGGGCGUAAAGCGUGCGCAGGCGGUUUUGUAAGACAGUGGUGAAAUCCCCGGGCUCAACCUGGGAACUGCCAUUGUGACUGCAAGGCUGGAGUGCGGCAGAGGGGGAUGGAAUUCCGCGGGUAGCAGUGAAAUGCGUAGAUAUGCGGAGGAACACCGAUGGCGAAGGCAAUCCCCUGGGCCUGCACUGACGCUCAUGCACGAAAGCGUGGGGAGCAAACAGGAUUAGAUACCCUGGUAGUCCACGCCCUAAACGAUGUCAACUGGUUGUUGGGGAUUUAUUUUCUCAGUAACGAAGCUAACGCGUGAAGUUGACCGCCUGGGGAGUACGGCCGCAAGGUUGAAACUUAAAGGAAUUGACGGGG